CAGCCGCCGCGGGAAUACGUAGGUGGCAAGCGUUGUCCGGGAUUAUUGGGCGUAAAGGGCUCGCAGGCGGUUUCUUAAGUCUGAUGUGAAAGCCCCCGGCUCAACCGGGGAGGGUCAUUGGAAACUGGGAAACUUGAGUGCAGAAGAGGAGAGUGGAAUUCCACGUGUAGCGGUGAAAUGCGUAGAGAUGUGGAGGAACACCAGUGGCGAAGGCGACUCUCUGGUCUGUAACUGACGCUGAGGAGCGAAAGCGUGGGGAGCGAACAGGAUUAGAUACCCCGGUAGUCCCUGUCUCUUAUAC
rnacentral:rRNA from 1 species